UGAUGUAUUACUUCAUCAGCAAAUUCAACAAGGCCAAGAUGUCUUCAUUUUCCUUCAGAGCAAGAGCUGUAAGAGCAGUGUGAGGGAAGCAUUGGUCUUCUGUGGCCAGCCGGCGAGAACCCAUCAACAGCUGUGAUGAGCAGACCAGACAUGGGGAACAGGAGGCAGCUGAAGCCAAAGAGGACCCACGCCUGGAGCUGUGUCUGUGUGAUUGGAGCAGAGAGAGGCCAGGACCCAAGGAAAUCCCAGCAGCAAGGGAAAAAAACAGAUUGACUCUCAGUGACUCAUUUAGCUCCUGGAUUGGACAGAUCUCUCCCCUGCUGGCAAUUUGGCUGAGCAUCAAUGGACAGAUACCAGGAUGAAUAGCUUAAAAUAAUUAGGGGUUGGGAAUUUGCAAAACUGCUAGCCAUCCAGUUCUUUACUGUGCAAUGCAAGGCACAAAAAAGAAAUUACAUUUAGGUUAUUAAAUAUUAAGUCAGUGGAUUUACCUCCAUUUGGUGCAGAACAGGAAACUGGCUAAAAUUCAACAUUUAUAUCAUUGUGUUGAUGGUCUGUUUAUCACUGAGCAAGUAAGUGCCUUUUGGCAGGUCAAGCUCUUUGACACAUGGAGCAAAUGUGUGCUUAAUUUCUCUCAAACAGAAGAAUUAAUAUAAUAAUAAUUAACACAGAUGAGAACAGAAUUAAAAUCAAGUACAGUCAGGAGUUCAGUUUAAUGCCAGGUGUCUCACAUUUUAGAUGCUCUGGGGCCAGAUUUUUUUCCUGUUGAAGGUAGUGAGGAUUUUGCCAUUGGCACUUACGGGAGCUAAAGUGGGUCUUGGAUGCAGAGAAACAGGAUUGCCUGUACUUUCUUUUUAAUGUGCAAACCCAGAAGCAACAGGCUCAUUUAGUAUCAGUAAAGGUCAGUUAAAAUUAUAGAGACAUCCUUUGGAGCAAAUCCUCUGCCUUGUAUUUGCAUAUUUAUGAAUUAGAGAUUACGACAGGCUAUUUCAUUUAUUAGAGCAGCACCGCUAUAGUUAAUAGUCUGUCAGUAUUUCCAUUAUGAACCCCAUUUUUCAGUGUUUUAAUUUCUCAGCCAUUUAAAAUCACAUCAGGAAACAAGUUGGUCUUAUGUUGCUGGCCAGGUGAAAUUUUUUUGUUGUGGCUUAUUUUCCAUAAUGAAAUACGGUUCAUCAUAUAUGCAGAUGAGUCACAGCAUUUCUGUUGGAGGAAAAUAACAAAGUGUGUAAAUUCAUUGUGGCUUUGUUUUUCUUUAGGAAAGAAGGGAAAAGAGGGAUUUGACCAAUCACGUCCACUGGGGCUUCAUGUUUGAAGAACAGUUUUUUAAGCAACUACUCUCAGAGCAAACUGGUUCCCAAUGUGAAAUCAGGUUGCUGUUUGCUUGCCACUGGUGACCAAGGCAUGGAUCAUAGUAGAGGAUGGUAAUAAUAUUGAGCGAAUAGACUGUCUUCCAUCUCCUCAGAGACCCAGGCUUCUUCAUAAACAUACAAAUAGGAGACACAAACCAGGCAUAAAGAGGCCUUCAUUCGCUCAUGGCAUGAAACUACCCCAAAAUGGACAUGUGACAAUUGCUGAGUCAUGAAUUGCACUGGAAUAAUUGAAGGCAGAAAAAGAACCAGAAGAACUUUCUAUCUCAUGAAGAAUCACAUGAGAUUAACCAGAAAUGUGACUAGAAACGUAUUUUUAUGACUUGACAGACAUCAGGACAACCCAUAAACCAUGGUGGGAACAGAACCACACAGUGAAUCAGAUUAUUCUUUGAACUUUUCUAGGUGUGUCCAGAGCUACUGUGUCUGCACAGAUUCCAAAAAGCUUAUGAUAUAGUGUCUGUUUUCACCUCUCGGAUUGAAGCCUAUUAAAGGAUUUGAGGAAAACUAUUCAGUGCUGUGGGCAAUGAGGAGCAAAGAAGAUCCAUUUAGAUGAGUUACAGCACUACUGGUCUUCUGAUGGAAUUUCCAAAAUUUCAGAUAAGUGGCAAAUUUUCAGCCAGCUCAAGGAAAUCAAAAUAGGAAAGGGCAGCUUUGCAAGGAGAAACCAAGGCACCAGGUUAAUUGCAGUAAAUAAGGAGCAUCACACUCAUGUGUUCCUAAGGGGAACAGAGGAGCUGCAACACAGGGGACAGUCCUCCCUGUGCAACUUUUAAGUGAGGAAGAAGAGCUUUCAGAGUUAACUAAGAGUUAACUGGCUACAUUUCAACUGUCACCA